rnacentral:tRNA from 1 species
AUCUUGCUAGUAUACACUAAUAUGUUGUCUUUCCACGUCAGAGAACCAAGGUUAAUUGGGUAAGAUA